UCGAACGUUGAGAUCCAUUUUGUCGUCAAGCUUUUAAGCGCUCCCUUCGUAGCGCGCAAUGUGAUUCGAUGAAGAUCGUGUUACCUCUUCUAUAUAUUUCCUUUACUCGGUCGCAUCUCUUUGACUUGGUAUGGACCGAUCGUAUUAUGGACAUACAUAUAUGUGGAAUAGUCGAUGACACGUAAUUAAAGGACACGGUAUAUGUAUAUAUAUAUAGAGAGAGAGGGAGAGAGAGAGAGAAAGAGAGAGAACGAAUACGGCUUUGAUUAUAACGAUCCUCAAAUGUCCAUUGCUGUUAAAUACGAUAUUUGUACGAGCUUCGUUUUAAUAAUCGGUUAGGACAACCAUCCAAACGGAAUGAUUCUUUUUUAAAGAUCAUCUUUUUGAUGACUUGCAAAGAUGUAAAAUUUAGAUGUGAUCUUGAGAAAGAGGUAAUUGAUUUUUAAGAUCACUUUUGAAACUUUUGUCUCAUACUGUAUAGUGUUAACUCUUUGAAGCAGGUUUGAAUUUAGCGUCCUACUUCCACAUGUAUAUAUAUAUAUCUAUAUAUAUGAUACCUAAUAUACAUGGUGAAAUCAUUUUUAUAUUACCUGAAAAAAUUAAAAUUACUUGAAGUAAUGGGAUUUACAUUGAUUCUCACGUACAUAUUCAAUUUAGUUAGUAAAUUUGAUCUACAUAUAUACAUAUAUACAUAAUUGAAUACUUAAAUAACCUUUUCUUUUUAUUUCUUCCUUUUUUUUCUUUUUUAUUCAUUUUACAUAAUACAGAUACUUUAAUGAUUUAAAACGAAUCUACUUCGUUAAAUUUUAUAAGAAUAAAAUUUCUCUGCAAUAUGAGGCAUUUUUGUAUUUUCUAAAAUUCUGUGCUUCAAAGAUUUCAUUCACGAAAGACCAGUGUAAAAAUUACCGUCAAGAAAAUAUACGUACGUAAUUAGAUUAAAUCAAUCAAUAGAAUUAAUAUAUUUCAAAUUGAUAUAUUUAGGACUAUUUACGAAUACUAGAGAAUUCGAAAGAUGAUGCACAAACGGAUUUUGAAAAAAAAAUCACUGAACUAACAGAAAUCAGGUAAACGAUCGGUAAUGGUUUCAUGUGACAGAAAUGGAAUCCUACGGUGUUCAAUAUGCUUUGGGACAUUUUGAAGUAUUGAGGUUCUGUCAUGUCAUACAGCAUCGACGUUUCGCAUCGACGUUUAAUGUGGUUUCACCCAUUUCGUCGUUUCUUCGACACCCAAAACCUGGUAUCGUCCAGCCUUUAUGUCGCCUUUGAACGGUUCUGAAUCGCUAUUCUCUCGAUUUGUACAUACGUUCAAACUUGACUCGUUACAAAACCAAAUUCAAAUCGAAUAUCAACGUGCGGUCUUUAUUAUAGUAUUAAAAGUAUUUAUACGUUUGAUAUCCUCUAACAAUUCUUGCAGAUUUCACUUUUGUCGUUUUAAAUAUCUGAGGUAAAUCAAAUGUCAAAGUUCUUGGAAGUCGUUUGAAAAAUAUUUCAUAAAUCCUUUUACCUUUUAUGAUUUAACGUUACAUAUCGGAUAACAGAUUUUUAUUUCACUUUGUUUCGUAUUUCCCUUCUUUUUCUUUAUUUCGUUUCGUUUCGUUUUUUUUUCCCCCUCGACACGACAAGUAGUGACACGAAGUUAUAAGUAUAAUAUUGAUUUAUUUUAAACGCGAUUGGAAUAUUAUAUGGGGCGUUCGUGUAAUCUGGACUAUCACGUUACAAUAUGAAAAAGUAUUAUCCUACGUGAUACGUCGUAUAGGAAAUAGAAACGGUAUAUGAUCAACGAAAUAAAUAGGAUGCAGGGUAAAAUGCGCACAGUAAAAGAUCGUACGAUUUUAACGUGAUUCAUACGUGCUUUAUUACUCGGGAAUAAUUGUAUAAAUUUGGUUAUAUAACGCGAGUUUCUCUGAUAAAUCGAUACGCGGUAUCGAUCAGUUGCAAAUGUCAGUAGAGAACAUUGGGAACAUAAAACUCGUCAAGGUAUUGGCAUGUAUUUAUAUAUACCUAUUAGUGAAUCAGUGCAAUGAUACGAAUAAUAUUUUCGCUAAUUAAUGGAAACAUCGGUGGUACAUAGUAUCAUCAUCCAAUUAGCUUAUUAUCAAAAUAUACAUACGUACAUACAUACAUAUGUUAUAUUAUACAAGUUAAUCUAGAGGACCUUCGGGUUAGCUAGGAUUAAGGGCAAAAAGGAAGGAGUUACGAAUUAUCUCGAUUAAAAUGUGAUGCCGUUGAACCGUAAUUUAUCUAAUGUUGUGGUAAUUGAGAAGAGUUAAUUCUCUCUAACACGUAGACAGUGCGCAGAGAGCGAGUUUUAAAUUAAAUUUUUUCCCUUCCAUCCUUCGACCCUCUCUCUCUAUCUCUCUCUCUCUCUCCCUCCUUACCUUCCUUCCUUCCUUCCUUCUUUCCUUCCUUCUCUUUCUCUUCUCUUUCUCUUUCUCUCCGUCUUCGGCUAGGUAAAGCUCAUACUCUAAUUACACUAAUGAAGUAAAUAGCGCACGUGAAACUGCCGUCACGGCGGGAGAUACUUUUUCUCUUUUGUAUUCACACCGAUGUUAUCUCUAAAGUUCAACUAUAGUAGAAUAAAUGAACGUUCCCACGUCCUAUCCAUGUUCUGUUACCGUUCGUGAUAUCAGAUAAAUGUGUAUGUAUGGAUUAUUGUCCGAUGUUACAUGACAAUGUUCAACUUUAUUAUAUCGUUGAUCUCAUUUAUUUAAUUCCAAGUAAAAUUGUUUAUGAAAAAUACAGAUACGUAUGUAUAUUUUAUAUGCAACAAACAAUCCGCUUAAAGGCUUAUUCCAUUGAAAAGUUGAGAGAAAUUGUGAUACUUCAACUACGAUGAUGUUGUUAUCACGAACUAUAUCAGUUUCAUACAUAUCGUCGAGAGCUUAGCCUAUGAUAUUUUCUAUACGAUGUCAAUAAAAAUUUCGCUUAUGACGACAUAAAUUUAUGAUAAGAUAUUACGGUGUCUGUAUAUUUUGACGUAUCAUAAAAAAACGCUUACGUAUAUAAAAAAAAAAAAAAAAAAGAGAGAUAGCUUAUACCAGACUUCUAAACGAAAUAGCAAAUAUCGUACUGCUUUAUUUUUCUAUUUUUUCGUAGUUUUUUUGUUAGACGAAAAGUAGAAAUAUAAAUAUAUUUCAUUCGGUACACGCCCAUCGCGGAUAGAAAUGAUUUACGAUCGGCUUAAAAAGUAAGUAACGCGUUGAAAUUAAUUUCAAAAGAGAUAUAUAUAUAUAUUCUUUUUUUAAUAAUUCUAUACAUAAUUUCGUUAACAAUUCGUACGACAAAUUUGAACUCGAAAUUACGUUCUUCUUAUGACUUUUCCCUUUACUUUUGUUUUAUCGUUCUCAACGAUCGAACGGCCGAAUACCGUGUUCUAUUGUUUUUAUUCACUUUAAAUAAAAUUAUCUUUUUUGUAUGGGAGACACUGAUUGGAGGAUCGCUGAUAAAAGCGAAAAUAAAAAAGGUGGAAAACUUGAAUGCGAUACUUCUUCUCGUCUGAAGUUCAGGAACCCCUAUUAUUACUGUGUUUACUUGGCUGGUGACUGAUAGCUCAAGGAGAUCAGGUCAGUAUUGAGUCGGUCCAAUUGUGUUAUCCUCCAACCUCCAGUUUAUCGGAAAGAGCUUUGUUAUUUUAAACUCAAUCCCAUCUUCAGGGAUGUUUUCUGUUUUUUCCUUUUUUUUUUUUCUUUUUCUUUUUCUACUUCUUCUUCAUCUUCGUCUUCUUCUUCUGCCAACAAAAGAUUUUAUUCGUCGUUUCACGUAAGGAAUCGUAAAAAUUUCUCGAAAACAAAUAUUCUUUCUAUUUCUGUAUCUCUAAAUUCUUUCAUUACCUCUUAAAUAUUUCUUCCGUAUUAAAUAUUUGGAAAAGAAAGAAAAAAAAAGAAAAAAGAAAAAAAGAAAAAAAGAAAAAUGAAAUAAUUUUCUUGUUUGUUCAAUCUUGAAACACGUACCUACAUAUACAUUGGUACUCAUCGUAUUGAUUUAACGCCGGUUUAGUCUUUACGUUAUGGAUACACUUUGGCCGCCAUUUCUCACGCGGGAUUUCCGAGGGUGGUAGGUAACCCUCGAGAAUCGACGUAGACACUUCGUUCGCGUUAAUACUACCCACCAAAGAGAUUGGAAAAUUGAUCUUCACCGACGGACGUCAUCGAGGACGCCAUCACGAUUAUCAACGUCUUGCGUAUCUUAUUUUCUUUCUUUCAUACCUUCCAUUUCUUUAUACUUUGAAAUCAAAAUAAUACUUCAUUAAGUUGUUCUUCACAUUAUGCUUGGACAAAUAAAAGAUCAAAUUUGAACCCGUAUGAUCAAUAAAGUAAAAUAAUUGAUAUAAUGUUAUCAUGGCGGCUCUGUGUGUGUGUGUGUGUGUGUGUAUACGUAAGUACAUACAAAUGUAUGUACAUUUACCUUAUACAUAUAAGCUCGAUUCUCUGCAUCUUACUGUUUCUUCUUUGUACAAGUUUUCCAUAAUGUAGUUAUACGCUCGUCUCGAUUUCACGUUCGUCUCUAUUUCGGCUUUUGAAUCGGAGUUGUAAUAACAUAAAGUUUUAGAUUAUUUCAGUCGGAAUCUCAGAAAUGGGAAUAAUCAACUUCGGUUUGAGUUUGAGAUAAAAUCCAUUUGGUUUGAUACACAAGGUACAACAUGAUGAUCACGAAAGUAUAUCCGAAAAGUGUCAGAAACGUUCCUCCGUUCGAUGGGAAAUAUGAUAUUACAGAGAGUUACAUAUAUCGUCGUUGAUAUAUAAACGGUGUAUCCUUUUCACUAGCUUUUACAUAGGAUAAAUAAAAAGAUAAAAAUCAAAGAGCGAAAAUUGUAAUCUCGCAUCAUGAAACAAUUUUACGAGCUUCAUGAAUAGUCAUGUUUUUGCAAUCGAUAAUUCUCUUUGACGAGAAUAACGGCUAUGUGAAUCGUUCGACGAUUUAUAUAUUGUUCUAUUCUCUUUAUCAUAUAACUAGGAUAUUAAUAUUUAUUUAUUUUAAUGCUCGAAUUACCUAUGCGCAUAAUAUUAAUGAGCGUAAAACGUAAGCGUAUGGCCGUGUAAACGAGAUUAUAACGACCGUAACGAUAUGUAAAUGUCAUUUUCGUUGUUUCACAACGCCAAAUAUAAUAUCUUAUAUUAUAAAGAAACUUAUAAGCUUUUCUUGUUGUCGUUGCAAAUGAGAACAUACGUUAUAUGGAUUCGACAUAUAUUUUAUGUAUUUAUAUCUACGAGCGAAUAUGUUUUUCUUCUUUCUCAUUUUCCCAUGUAAAUGGAUCAAAGAAAGUAGAAGGAUGAGCUUA